GUGCCAGCCGCCGCGGUAAUACGUAGGGCGCAAGCGUUGUCCGGAUUUAUUGGGCGUAAAGAGCUCGUAGGCGGUUUGUCGCGUCUUCCGUGAAAACUGGGGGCUUAACUUCCAGCUUGCGGUGGAUACGGGCUGACUGGAGUGCGGCAGGGGAGACUGGAAUUCCUGGUGUAGCGGUGAAAUGCGCAGAUAUCAGGAGGAACACCGGUGGCGAAGGCGGGUCUCUGGGCCGUUACUGACGCUGAGGAGCGAAAGCGUGGGGAGCGAACAGGAUUAGAAACCCGCGUAGUCC
rnacentral:rRNA from 1 species